UACAUAGGGGGCAAGCGUUGCUCGGAAUUACUGGGCGUAAAGGGCGCGUAGGCGGGAUGGCAAGUCGGUCGUGAAAUCCCUCGGCUCAACCGAGGAACGUCGAUCGAUACUGCUGUUCUUGAGGAUUGCAGAGGAGACUGGAAUUCCCGGUGUAGCGGUGAAAUGUGUAGAGAUCGGGAGGAACACCGGUGGCGAAGGCGGGUCUCUGGGCAAUUCCUGACGCUGAGGCGCGAAAGCGUGGGGAGCAAACAGG
rnacentral:rRNA from 1 species